CAAUAGCGUAUAUUAAAGCUGUUGCGGUUAAAAAGCUCGUAGUUGGAUUUCUGUCAAGUACAACUGGUCCGCCCUCCGGGUGAGCACAUAGUUUGGUCUUGGCAUCUUGCUGGAAAUUGUUGCUGCACUUGGCUGUGUGGCGCAGUGUCCAGCACUUUCACUUUGAGGAAAUUGGAGUGUUUCAAGCAGGCAAUGCCUUUGAACUCAGUAGCAUGGAAUAAUUAGAUUGGGCUUUUGCUCCAAUUUGUCGGUUUCUGGAGCUGAGGUGAGAAUUAAUGGGGAUUGUUGGGGGCAUCCGAAUUUAGCCGUCAGAGGUGAAAUUCUUGGAUCGGCUAAAGACGGACAACUGCGAAAGCGUUUGCCCAGGAUGUUUUCAUUGA
rnacentral:rRNA from 1 species